rnacentral:siRNA from 1 species
UAGUUGACCAGGGCAAAAUCUCCA